UACUGGAGUGGGUUGCCAUUUCCUUUGCCAGUUCAUGCAUACAUGCCAAGCCGCUUCUGUGAUGUCUGACUCUUUGUGACCCUAUGAACUGUAGCCCACCAGGCUGCUCUGUCCAUGGGAGUCUCCAGGCAAGAAUACUGGAGUGGGUUGCCAUGCCCUC